GCGUGAGUGAUGAAGGCCUUAGGGCUGUAAAGCUCUUUUGUCCGGGACGAUAAUGACGGUACCGGAAGAAUAAGCCCCGGCUAACUUCGUGCCAGCAGCCGCGGUAAUACGAAGGGGGCUAGCGUUGCUCGGAAUCACUGGGCGUAAAGGGCGCGUAGGCGGCGACUUAAGUCGGGGGUGAAAGCCUGUGGCUCAACCACAGAAUUGCCUUCGAUACUGGGUUGCUUGAGUGUGGUAGAGGUUGGUGGAACUGCGAGUGUAGAGGUGAAAUUCGU
rnacentral:rRNA from 1 species